AGCGUGAGGGCCGCCGUUGCUGGAGUUCAGCUUAGGGAAGGAGGACUCUGAGGAGGCCCCGAGCGGCGGAGCGCUUCGGGGGAGGCGCCCGCGCAGACGCGAGGCCCAUAGCCAGGACCACCACCUAGCUGAUUCUUGAUGACAUUGGUCGGGAAAACUCGCCUUUCACGGCCCGGCCAAGGGGCAUUUGGGUGCUUUUGCUGCCCGUGGCUGUGCUCAGCGUUGUGGGAAGCCCCUGGGAGGCCGAAUGUGCAGGAUCACCGAGGGGAAAGUGAGCUUGACAGUUCUACAGUCUGGGGACGACGGUUUAAAAAUUUAUGCCUUGCAUGCGAUGUGCAGUGGGUGAUGGAAGAACGUCUACAUGGCUUUAAAAUUGGAUUUAAAAGGCAAAUAUUUUAAAUGAAGGAAAACCCAAGAAGUUUACUUGAUUCCUUAUCUUCCAGGAUGCGACUUUUGUUUAUUUAUUUAUUUUAUUUUGAUGGAGUCUCGCUGCCGUCGCGCAGGCUGGAGUGCAGUGACGCGAUCUUGACCCGGGAACCUCCACCUCCCGGGUUCAAGCGAUUCUCCUUCCUCAACCACCCGAGUAGCUGGGAUUACAGGCGUGUGCCACCAUGCCCGGCUAAUUUUUGUGUUUUUAGUAGAGACCGGGGAAGGUAUGGGCCCUCUUUUGAGAAAAAUGCAGAGUGACACUGAAUUUUGUAACUACAUCAGGAGGCUCUUGAACCUUCUGCAGCUCACUCGUGGAGUUUGUAGAGAUGCGUAAUAAUCCGAAGUGUUAAGGAAGAAGGUUCUGUUGAGAAAAAGUUGGAGGGCUGAAAGGGAUGCCUUUCGCUAUUUCGACAUGUGUGGCUGUACCCCAGAGUGCCCUGGCUAACACGCAAAACCAUGAAUUAGGCGGCUUGGCGAGGCUCAGUGGAGGCUGGGGCCGAGAGUCAUGUCAAAGUUUGUGGGGUUAACCUGCACCCAGUGACAGUCAUGGCGAAGUUUGUGAGGUUAACUCGCACCCAGUAACGCUGUUCCAAUGCAAGGUGUGUAUUUGGUGUCAUCCACGGGAAGAGGAAACAGCAAAUUUUCUCAUGGCCUUGGCAGUUCCACAUGAUGGACAUUUCAUAUCUGCAGUUUUCUUCGCAUGAGAUGGCUUUUUUGCACAAAAACACUGGAAUCCAGUGAGCAAGAAUGAUAGAAUGCAAGAUGGAUUUCCACAUGAGGAAGUGUCACGAACAAGCGUUUUGCAUCUCUGUCAGCUGGAUUCCCCCAUGUGUACGUAUGUGAGAACAUGCCGUGUUUCCUGUCUGUAAUGGUAGAGGCAGCCCUGAUACUGGAUUUUCACCUGAGGAUGGAUAGAUCUUCAGGGUUCAAGUGGGUUUGCAUCUGGACUUUAGGGUGGCCCUGUAGGCCCUGUGUGAGAAGCCCCCUUCCCAGUGAACUUUCCCUUGUGUGCCCGCGUGGACAGCCAACAGGGGGAGCAGUGCGAGCGUGAAGGCAGACAGUGGCCUGGCCCAGUCUGAUGGGAGAGACCCACCGACCCUGUGGGGCUGGUCCCUACAUCUGGCGCUCUGACGUGGGGCUCUCCCUCGCUGUGUGAAGUUGCACCCUGAGUGCGGGAUCAGCGGAGGAGUUCAACGAGAGAUUCCUGAGGAUUGCAGUCUAUAAACUUGGUGGAAAAGAACUACAGCCUGUGUGGGUCCCCUCCCGACAAUUAAAAUUGCACCAUAACUCCAAAGAUGAAACGCUCCCAGAAAGAAAAGGCAAAGACCCAUCGGAAACAAAAGAGCAACUUUCACCGCCUGAUACAUACACUUCAUGACAUCCACAUUGAGACAAAAUCUCGCCGUGUGACCUACAACACCUCUCGUUCAACCCCACCUACUUGGGGUCGAAUACAGAUUUUAUCUCAUCAAACAGAAAAAUUCUUAACAGAAAAAGGAAUCCCAAAAAUGACUGGUAAUAUAAUUCUGGCUGCCUUUAUGGUAGUCAGUGCAGCGGUAAGUAUACCACCGGUCGGGGCAACUCAAAAUUAUACUUAUUGGGCAUAUGUUCCUUUUCCCCUUCUAAUUCGGUCUGUCUCCUGGAGGGACUCUCCAGUAGAAGUUUACACUAAUAAUAGUGCAUUCAUGCCGAUCCCUAAUGAUGAUCGGUUUCCAGCUCAACCGGAAGAAGAAGGUAUGCACUUUAAUCUGUCAAUUGGCUAUAAAUAUCCACCAUUAUGUAUUGGGAAGUCGCCUGGUUGUUUAGCUUAUUCUUAACAGAAUUGGAUGUGGACUGUACCGUCCUUUACAAAUGAUUCUUAUCAAGUAUAUAAUGUGUUCAGUACUAACUCUUUUCAACUUCUCACUGUCAAACGUACCCCACAUGAGGCAUGGAGAGUUCCUCUCACUACCAAAACUAAUAAAACAAAAGGACUGCCGGACUGUCCAAAGAAACCUACAAAUGGGCCUUUUAUAGUGACUUCAAUUUUAUGGGAUAAUUGUAAUGCUCCCAAGGCUGUUGUACUCCAAACUCUAGCCAUGGGUAUUGUUAUUGAUUGGGCUCCAAAAGGACAUUAUUGGCAAGAUUGCUCCAGCAAAAAUACCUUAUGCUCGGAGUUUAUUUAUUCCUUAGAUUAUAUAGAGCAUGGGUGGCAGUCUUACACGAUGAGACAACGGGUGUCUCCUUACCCAUUUAAAUGGAUGGACACAGGUAUUGCUCCUCCUAGACCAAAAAUUAUUCAUCCCUUUUUUACCCCAGAACAUCCUGAACUAUGGAAAUUAGCUGCAGCUUUGUCGGGAAUAAAGAUAUGGAACACUACCUAUCAGCUCCUUCGUACUAAAACCAAAACACCCACAUUCAACAUCACCCUUAUUUCUGAAUGGGUGAUACCCAUUAGGAGCUGUGUCAAACCCCCUUACAUGCUGUUGGUUGGAAAUAUAAUUAUGAUGCCUGAUGCACAAACUAUAGAAUGUCAUAACUGUAAGCUGUUCACUUGCAUUGAUGCAACUUUUAAUCCCACUACAAGUAUUCUCUUGGUAAGGGCUAGGGAGGGGGUAUGGAUACCAGUUUCUCUACAUCGUCCAUGGGAGUCUUCCCCCUCUAUUCACAUAGUCAAUGAAGUUCUUAAAGACAUCCUCAAAAGAACAAAGAGAUUUAUUUUUACUCUUAUUGCAGUCCUUGCAGGACUACUUGCGGUUACUGCAACAGCAGCAACUGCUGGAGUUGCCAUCCGCAGUUCUGUUCAAACUGCUCACUAUGUUGAAGCAUGCCAGAAAAAUUCCUCCAGACUUUGGAAUUCUCAGGCGCAAAUUGAUCAAAAAUUAGCUAAUCAGAUUAAUGAUCUCCGCCAAAGUGUAACCUGGCUGGGAGAUAGAGUUAUGAACUUGCAACACCGUAUGCAAUUACAGUGUGAUUGGAAUACUUCUGAUUAUUGCAUAACGCCUUAUGCUUAUAAUCAAGAUCAACAUAGCUGGGAAAAUGUCUCAAGACAUUUAAAAGCCUGGGAUGAUAACUUAACCUUGGAUAUUUCACAACUUAAAGAGCAAAUCUUUGAGGCUUCACAAGCCCAUUUAUCCACAGUUCCUGGCUCACACAUUUUUGAAGGCAUAACUAAACAAUUACCUGAUUUUAAUCCCUUCAAAUGGCUCAAACCCGUCAGAGGAUCAUUGUUGUUACUGGCAUUAUUAAUAUUGGUAUGCUUAUGUUGUCUCCUUUUAGUCUGCAGAUGCCUCUAAGGAGUCCGAAACCAAGUCCGAAGUCAACAACAAGCAAUGAUGGCGAUGGCGAUUCUAGUUAAUAAAAAGGGGGGAGAUGUGGGCGGCAAGCCACCCAGGCACCGAGGCAAGAGACAGAGGACACGAGCUGUUCCAGUAUAAUAAAAUAUAAAACAAGAAUAGUUAUACCAGAUAUAGAUCUUAGAUAUGAUUAUAUACGAAUAUCAUUAAUCAUGAGUUUGUAGCAAUUACUUUUUAUUCCAAUAUUAUGAUAAUCCUCGCUCUAUAAUCAUAGCCUAGGAAAAACCAGGCCAUACAGAGAUAGGAGCUGAGGGGACAUAGUGAAGUGUGACCAGAAGACAAGAGUGCGAGCCUUCUGUUAUGCCCGGACAGGGCCACCAGAGGGCUCCUUGGUCUAGCGGUGACGCCAGCGUCUGGGAAGACACCCGUUACCAGGCGGAUCGUGGCCCAGCCGUAGCAAAAGGUGUCAAGGAACACCUUUUGCAAAAGGUGUCAACACCCGCUACUUAGCAGACUGGGAAAGGGGGGCGGUCUCCCUUUCCCCGGGGGAGUUUAGAGAAGACUCUGUUCCUCCACCUCUUGUGGAGGGCCUGACAUCAGUCAGGCUUGCCCGUAGUUAUCCGGAGGCCUAACUGUCUCCCUGUGAUGCUGUGCUUCAGUGGUCACGCUCCUAGUCUGCCUUCAUUUUCCAUCCUGUACACCUGGCUCUGCCUUCUAGAUAGCAGUAGUAAAUUAGUGAAAAUACUAAUAGUCCCUGAUAUGCAGAAAUAAUGGCAUAAGCUGUCUUUCUCUCUGUCUCCUCUCCCUCUCUGCCUCGGCUGCCAGGCAGGGAAGGGCCCCCUGUCCAGUGGACACAUGACCCAUGUGACCUUACCUAUCAUUGGAGGUGACUCACAUUCUUUACCCUGCCCCUUCUGCCUUGUAUCCAAUAACAGCGCAGUCAGACAUUCAGGGCCACUACCGGUCUCCGCACAUUGGUGGUAGUGGUCCCCCGGGCCCAG
ensembl:lncRNA ERVK13-1 endogenous retrovirus group K13 member 1